rnacentral:rRNA from 1 species
UACGGGGGGGGCAAGCGUUGUUCGGAAUUACUGGGCGUAAAGGGCUCGUAGGCGGCCCACUAAGUCAGACGUGAAAUCCCUCGGCUUAACCGGGGAACUGCGUCUGAUACUGGAUGGCUUGAGUUUGGGAGAGGGAUGCGGAAUUCCAGGUGUAGCGGUGAAAUGCGUAGAUAUCUGGAGGAACACCGGUGGCGAAGGCGGCAUCCUGGACCGGCAUUGACGCUGAGGCGCGAAAGCCAGGGGAGCAAACGGG